rnacentral:rRNA from 1 species
AGUGAACGCUGGCGGCGUGCUUAACACAUGCAAGUCGAACGAGAACGGAAUAUAGCUUGCUAUAUUUGUCAGCUAAGUGGCGCACGGGUGAGUAAUGUAUAGAUAACCUGCCCUUAAGAAAGGAAUAACAGUUGGAAACGACUGCUAAUGCCCUAUAUGCCUUUAAUACAUAAGUAUGCAAGGGAAACGCUUUAGUGCUUAAGGAUGGGUCUGUAUGGUAUCAGCUUGUUGGUGAGGUAAUGGCUCACCAAGGCUAUGACGCCUAACUGGUUUGAGAGGAUGAUCAGUCACACUGGAACUGAGACACGGUCCAGAAUACUAUGGGAGGCAGCAGUGGGGAAUAUUGCACAAUGGACGAAAGUCUGAUGCAGCAACGCCGCGUGGAGGAUGACACAUUUCGGUGCGUAAACUCCUUUUAUAUAGGAAGAUAAUGACGGUACUAUAUGAAUAAGCACCGGCUAACUCCGUGCCAGCCGCCGCAGUAA